rnacentral:SRP_RNA from 2 species
GCCGAGUUGUGUAACGUCAGCUUGUGACCCGAGUGGGGGCAUCAUGGUGAUGGAACAAAGUUUAGGUUUCACUGAGUUGGAUUGGUAGAUGCAUAAUGUUGCUUGCCCACUCCAAGUUGAGAGUUGAGCUAAGGAAUCUUUGCGAAGGCAAAGGUCUCUUGGUUCCUAGACAGGAGGGCACAGCGUGAGGCUGGUUUCACAGAGCAGCGACAACCUCCGGUUCUUGACAGUGGAAGGAUCACAGGCUGCUGCAUCUCCACACCACUGAGCUUGGUUAGCCUAUCUCUUGAACCAUCACUUUU